AUAGCGUAUAUUAAAGUUGUUGUGGUUAAAAAGCUCGUAGUUGGAUCUCAGUUCGAGUCAAGUGGUCCACUUGCCAGUGGUUACUGCUUGACUGAACACUUUAUCGAGUUGUCCUAUGGUGCUCUUCACCGAGUGUCAUAGGCGAUCGGUACGUUUACUUUGAAAAAAUUAGAGUGCUCAAAGCAGGCGUUACGCCCGAAUAAUGUUGCAUGGAAUAAUGGAAUAGGACCUCGGUUCUAUUUUGUUGGUCUUCGGAAUCUGAGGUAAUGAUUAAGAGGGACAGACGGGGGCAUUCGUAUUGCGGCGCUAGAGGUGAAAUUCUUGGACCGUCGCAAGACGAACUAAAG
rnacentral:rRNA from 1 species